rnacentral:rRNA from 1 species
UACAGAGGGGGCUAGCGUUGUUCGGAAUUACUGGGCGUAAAGCGCACGUAGGUGGCGACGUAAGUCGGGUGUGAAAGCCCCGGGCUCAACCUGGGAAUUGCAUUCGAGACUGCGUUGCUGGAGUACGGAAGAGGAGGGCGGAAUUCCAGGUGUAGCGGUGAAAUGCGUAGAUAUCUGGAGGAACACCGGUGGCGAAGGCGGCGGCCUGGACCGAGAUUGACGCUGAGGCGCGACGGCGUGGGGAGCAAACCGG